rnacentral:misc_RNA from 1 species
CAACCCUCAAGCACCUGUUGCUUGGUGUUGGGGCGCUGCCGAGGCCCGCCUCCCGGCGGACGCGGCAGGCCUCUAAAUUCAGUGGCGAGCUCGCCAGUACUCCGAGCGCAGUAGUGUUAAAACCUCGCUUUGGACGGACUGGCGCGGCCCCGCCGUAAAACCCCCCAACUUCUGAAA